UACGUAGGGGGCAAGCGUUGUCCGGAAUCAUUGGGCGUAAAGAGCGCGUAGGCGGCCCAGUAAGUCCGCUCUGAAAGUCAGAGGCUCAACCUCUGAAUGCGGGUGGAUACUGCUGGGCUAGAGUCCGGAAGAGGCGAGUGGAACUCCUAGUGUAGAGGUGGAAUUCGUAGAUAUUAGGAAGAACACCAGUGGCGAAGGCGGCUCACUGGUCCGGUACUGACGCUGAGGUGCGAAAGCGUGGGGAGCAAACAGG
rnacentral:rRNA from 1 species